AGCGGCGGACGGGUGAGUAACACGUGGGUAACCUGCCCAAGAGACUGGGAUAACACCUGGAAACAGAUGCUAAUACCGGAUAACAACACUAGACGCAUGUCUAGAGUUUGAAAGAUGGUUCUGCUAUCACUCUUGGAUGGACCUGCGGUGCAUUAGCUAGUUGGUAAGGUAACGGCUUACCAAGGCAAUGAUGCAUAGCCGAGUUGAGAGACUGAUCGGCCACAUUGGGACUGAGACACGGCCCAAACUCCUACAGGAGGCAGCUGUAGGGAAUCUUCCACAAUGGACGAAAGUCUGAUGGAGCAACGCCGCGUGAGUGAAGAAGGGUUUCGGCUCGUAAAGCUCUGUUGGUAGUGAAGAAAGAUAGAGGUAGUAACUGGCCUUUAUUUGACGGUAAUUACUUAGAAAGUCACGGCUAACUACGUGCCAGCAGCCGCGGUAAUACGUAGGUGGCAAGCGUUGUCCGGAUUUAUUGGGCGUAAAGCGAGUGCAGGCAGUUCAAUAAGUCUGAUGUGAAAGCCUUCGGCACAACCGGAGAAUUGCAUCAGAAACUGUUGAACUUGAGUGCAGAAGAGGAGAGUGGAACUCCAUGUGUAGCGGUGGAAUGCGUAGAUAUAUGGAAGAACACCAGUGGCGAAGGCGGCUCUCUGGUCUGCAACUGACGCUGAGGCUCGAAAGCAUGGGUGGCGAACAGGAUUAGAUACCCUGGUAGUCCAUGCCGUAAACGAUGAGUGCUAAGUGU
rnacentral:rRNA from 1 species